UGAAAGAUUAGGCACUACCCUCC
rnacentral:piRNA from 1 species